rnacentral:rRNA from 1 species
UAUUGCACAAUGGGGGGAACCCUGAUGCAGCAACGCCGCGUGGGUGAAGAAGUUUUUUGGUAUGUAAAGCCCUAUCAGCAGGGAAGAAGAUGACGGUACCUGACUAAGAAGCCACGGCUAAAUACGUGCCAGCAGCCGCGGUAAUACGUAUGGGGCAAGCGUUAUCCGGAUUUACUGGGUGUAAAGGGAGCGCAGGCGGCGCGGCAAGUCAGAUGUGAAAGCCCGGGGCUCAACCCCGGGACUGCAUUUGAAACUGCCGUGCUGGAGUGUCGGAGAGGCAAGUGGAAUUCCUAGCGUAGCGGUGAAAUGCGUAGAUAUUAGGAGGAACACCAGUGGCGAAGGCGGCUUGCUGGACGAUAACUGACGCUAAGGCUCGAAAGCGUGGGGAGCAAACAGG